AGGGCUUGACAUGGAGAGGCUGGUUACAGAGAUGUGACGUUCCCUUCGGGGACUUCUUACACAGGUGGUGCAUGGUUGUCGUCAGCUCGUGUCGUGAGAUGUUGGGUUAAGUCCCGCAACGAGCGCAACCCCUAUUGUUAGUUGCUACGGAAGAGCACUCUAGCGAGACUGCCGUUGACAAAACGGAGGAAGGUGGGGACGACGUCAAAUCAUCAUGCCCCUUAUGUCCUGGGCGACACACGUAAUACAAUGGCGGUCAACAAAGGGAGGCAAGUCCGCGAGGAGGAGCAAACCCCGAAAAGCCGUCUCAGUUCGGAUCGCAGGCUGCAACCCGCCUGCGUGAAGUCGGAAUCGCUAGUAAUCGCGGAUCAGAAUGCCGCGGUGAAUACGUUCCCGGGUC
rnacentral:rRNA from 1 species